rnacentral:rRNA from 1 species
AGCGAACGCUGGCGGCAGGCUUAACACAUGCAAGUCGAGCGGACGUAGCAAUACGUCAGCGGCAGACGGGUGAGUAACGCGUGGGAACGUACCUUUUGGUUCGGAACAACACAGGGAAACUUGUGCUAAUACCGAAUAAGCCCUUACGGGGAAAGAUUUAUCGCCGAAAGAUCGGCCCGCGUCUGAUUAGCUAGUUGGUGGGGUAACGGCCCACCAAGGCGACGAUCAGUAGCUGGUCCGAGAGGAUGAUCAGCCACAUUGGGACUGAGACACGGCCCAAACUCCUACGGGAGGCAGCAGUGGGGAAUAUUGGACAAUGGGCGCAAGCCUGAUCCAGCCAUGCCGCGUGAGUGAUGAAGGCCCUAGGGUUGUAAAGCUCUUUUGUGCGGGAAGAUAAUGACGGUAUCGCAAGAAUAAGCCCCGGCAAACUUCGUGCCAGCAGCCGCGGUAAUAC